UGGAUCUUGCGGUAACAGGUCUCAGAGGAAGAAGAUGGAGAGGAGAAUGGGCAUCUCCUCGCCAGGCAGCUAUUUCAGGCUCUGAGGUGCUUUCUUACCACUAUCUCUCGAGUCCAAAACAAAGGCUACUGAUAGGGAAAAUUCAGAAGAUGCUUUGGUAUUGCGCCAAGCAGAAUUGAAAUCAAGAGUAAAGAGUGCUGGGAAUUGUCCUUCAGAAGCUCAUCUACAGAAGGCUCAAUGCCGGGUACAGCACAGUCCAGAGGUGGGGCAUGGAGAAGCAACUGGAACAUUUGCAUUCCUCAGUGAUCAACCCACGAUGAGGUCGUACCUUGACAGUGUUACUGGGAGGGAAUGGGACAGAGGUGGCCCUGUGCGGAAAGGAGUGGGUCAUGGAGGCGGGACCUUGAGGACCAUAGCUGGCUCCUGGCCCCUUCCUCUCUGACUCUUGCUCUCUCUGCUUCGCGGAUGCCACGAGUGGAACAGCUUUCCUCCCCAUCCUUUUUCUGCCCCACCACAGGGCUAGCACAGGGAGCCUCCUGAGCAUGGACUGAAGUCUCGAAACCACCACUCAAAAUAAACCUACUUGCACAAAAUAAAUAAAUAAAUAAACCUACUUGCCUUUAAGUUGUUUAUCUCAGGUGUUUGUCACAGUAACGAAGUGCUGACUAACACAGAGU